UUUCCAUUCCGUUUACUGAUUAAACAUCCUAGUUUUGUUUAAUGUUUCCAAGACGAACGUCCGGUCGCCACGCCGCUCCGGCCCUAGACCACCGGCAACCCGGCAUAUGUUUCAAAUUUUCUACGACAAUUUCGUUUUUCGUCGUUCGACGGUCCCGGAAACAUCUCUAAAGAGAAUUUCUCCAGAAAACACCAAUCGCAUACAUAUAAGGCAUAAUGUUAAAUGCGCACCAAGCCGGAUGGACAUUAUAAUCAUGCCUACGCGUUUCUACGCACAAUACUAAAAUGAACGAUCCAGAGACGGUCGUAGUACCCGCAUGUGUUGUCUUCGUCUUAUACUAACGCUUGACAUACCAAAACUUAUUUAGUAUUUUCAACUUUAUGUUGUAAGCUCAAAUAUUAGAGUGAACUCAGCUAUUAUAAAACUUGAAGAUGCAGUUUUGUUUAUCAUAUUCAAGUUUGGUCGUGGAAACAUACAUUGUUUACUAUAGAGAAUUAAAUCUCAAGACUAGUCAACUAAAAAAUUUGUGAGCUUAAACAUGUGUUAUGAACAAAUUGGUUAUUAUAAAUAGUUUGUGAUCAAAAUGUAUCGGAGUUGGUAAAUUGCGUUCCCCAAAUAAAGGUAUAUUCAUAUGCUAUGUGAAUUGCGGCCCAUGUACUAUUAAAACAUACGUAAAUUGCGUCCCGGGCAUAUUUGGAAUGUACGUAAACUGCGGCUAUGGAUAUUCCGAUUUCCAGUCGGCUGUACAAUUCAAUUAUAAGUAUUAAUUUUUGAUUGAUAAUAUACACUAAUAUAAUAUUACUAAUUACUAUCGGCCAGUGUGCAUGUGAUCUAAGAUCUUACGCACGAGGUUUUACGUUGCUUUACAGCUUACGAAUCAUUUUUAAACGUAAUAAAAAUGUACGCGUUAUGAAAAGCGAAAGGAAUAAAAUUUUGAAAGUAGUUAACGGUUUCAAGUUUCGUUUUCACAAAUUGCUAAAAAAUAGUAUUUAACUUUGGCGUUGCACAAUUAAAAUCUGUUUUUUGAAAUUUAAUGAUAAUAAUAUGUGUAUAGUUUUCAAGAUCACAAUCAUUUUUAAAAUUUCGGAACAAAUAAUAAAUCGGCAGAAACUUGACAACAAUUUAAAAAGAUUCCGUUGAUGAUAUGUUUACCAGACCAUCUAAAAUUAUCCAUUCUGAAUUAAAAAAUGCUUGGAUGUAAUUUACGUAUGAAUAAAAAAUAUUAAUUUAUACCCAGGCCGCAAUUUACGUAUGUACAAAAUAUAUCCGGGCCGCAAUUUACAUAAAAAAUUAAAAAUGGGACACAAUUAACAGCGACCCAAAUGUAUAAAGGUACCGCGGUUUUGUUCAAAAAUGCCAACCGUACUAAUUGGUACUUAUUUCAAUAUCGCACAGAUAGUUUUCAUGGGUUAGCUUAAAAAUCAAAAGCCAACCAACCAAUAUGAGAUACACAUGUGCUAUUAGGAGGAUGCUGGGGCAUUCCAAGGCUCUAAUUUAGCACCCCAGUUCAAAAACAUCAACAAUUGAAAAAUAACCAAUUAGAUACUGGACUACGUCACACGAUGAUCAAUCAGUUAUCAAGUUAUGGAAACAUAUUACCUACUUAGAAAGAAUUAAGUUUUCAAGACUCGUCUAAUUAACUUAAUUUUAAAAUUUUAAAGCCUACUAAACGUGUAAUUUUAAAAACAAAUCUGGGUGGUCGCUUAUACAAACAUUUUUUUAGAAAAAUUUAGAAAAAAAAUCUGAAGGUAACGGGUUUUCUUUUUUUAUAAUUUAAUAAUUGUAAUUGGUAUAAUUAUAAAAGUAUCCACUUUUUAUUUAACAGAGUUCAACCGUACUGUUCGUACUUAUUUCAAUAUCGCACGAAUGGCCAACGUGCGGUGGAGUAAAAAUGAAAAAAAAAAACCACCAACCAACAAGUACACGUAGUCAAAGAAUCGAAAAAAACGCCAGUCAAGUCAUGCGGAGCAGCAGUACACAUGACGCGCGGCGAGAGUUUGAGAAAAAAAAAAAACCGUAUCGUGUGAAGUGGCGCCUCUUCACACGAGUAUCCCAGCCGGACACGCUUUUCGGAUCGCCCCCGCGCACAGUAUUCAU